rnacentral:rRNA from 1 species
UACAGAGGGUGCGAGCGUUAAUCGGAAUUACUGGGCGUAAAGCGCACGUAGGUGGCGACGUAAGUCGGGUGUGAAAUCCCUGGCUCAACCUGGGAACGGCAUUCGAGACUGUGUUGCUGGAGUACGGAAGAGGCGAGUGGAAUUCCUGGUGUAGCGGUGGAAUGCGCAGAUAUCAGGAGGAACACCAAUAGCGAAGGCAGCUCGCUGGGACGUUACUGACACUGAGGCGCGAAAGCGUGGGGAGCGAACAGG